rnacentral:piRNA from 1 species
UUGGAAAUGGCGUCACGCAAAACCUGCCUC